AUUGAACGCUGGCGGCAGGCUUAACACAUGCAAGUCGAGCGGAGUGAUGGUGCUUGCACUAUCACUUAGCGGCGGACGGGUGAGUAAUGCUUAGGAAUCUGCCUAUUAGUGGGGGACAACAUCUCGAAAGGGAUGCUAAUACCGCAUACGUACUACGGGAGAAAGCAGGGGAUCACUUGUGACCUUGCGCUAAUAGAUGAGCCUAAGUCGGAUUAGCUAGUUGGUGGGGUAAAGGCCUACCAAGGCGACGAUCUGUAGCGGGUCUGAGAGGAUGAUCCGCCACACUGGGACUGAGACACCGCCCAGACAACUACGGGAGGCAGCGGUGGGGAAUAUUGGACAAGGGGGGAGACCCUGAUCCAGCCAUGCCGCGUGUGAAGAACGCCUUAUGGUUGUAAAGCACUUUAAGCGAGGAGGAGGCUCUUUUGGUUAACACCCAAGAUGAGUGGACGUUACUCGCAGAAUAGGCACCGGCUAACUCUGUGCCAGCCGCCUCCGUAA
rnacentral:rRNA from 1 species